rnacentral:rRNA from 1 species
ACGAACGCUGGCGGCGUGCUUAACACAUGCCAGUCGAACGGAAAGGCCCUGCUUUUGUGGGGUGCUCGAGUGGCGAACGGGUGAGUAACACGUGAGUAACCUGCCCUUGACUUUGGGAUAACUUCAGGAAACUGGGGCUAAUACCGGAUAGGAGCUCCUGCUGCAUGGUGGGGGUUGGAAAGUUUCGGCGGUUGGGGAUGGACUCGCGGCUUAUCAGCUUGUUGGUGGGGUAGUGGCUUACCAAGGCUUUGACGGGUAGCCGGCCUGAGAGGGUGACCGGCCACAUUGGGACUGAGAUACGGCCCAGACUCCUACGGGAGGCAGCAGUGGGGAAUAUUGCACAGUGGGCGGAAGCCUGAUGCAGCAACGCCGCGUGCGGGAUGACGGCCUUCGGGUUGUAAACCGCUUUCGCCUGUGACGAAGCGUGAGUGACGGUAAUGGGUAAAGAAGCACCGGCUAACUACGUG